AAAUACAUGCGUAUAUGUAUUUUUUUUUAUAUUUAAUUUUUGAAAAUACAACUAAUUUUUUUUUUUUUUUUUUGCAAAAAAAGUUUUUAAAACACGUUUUUUUGAAUUAUUUAUUGGUAUAUAUAUAUAUAUAUAUAUAUGUAUAUAUGUAUAUAUGUAUAUUUAUACAUGUGUAUGAAAAUGUGAAUGUUAAUAGGAGAAUAGCAUAUACAUGCUGAGGAAAAACACAAAAUUAUUAAUCUAAUUCAAUUUAUUUUUAAUAGUAAAAAAAAAUAAAUAAAAAAAAAAUAAAAUAAAAACAUAUAAUUGGCACAUAUAACCUUUCGUAUAAAUUUUCAUAUUUUAAUAUAAAAAAUUUUAAAGAUAGUUUCACUUAUAAGUUUAAGAGUAUCAUAUAAAUAAAAGUAAUAAAUAUUUUCAACGAUCUAAUUAAAUUUUUUAAGUCUUUUUUAUAUAAAAAUAAGACUAAAAAAAAAAAAAAAGACUAAAAAAAAAAAAAUAAGACUAAAAAAAAAAAAAAAAAAAAAUGAUUUUAUUACAACUAACAGUGCUUGGUUAUCUAAACACAGGAAAAACAUCUUUAAUCAAUUCCAUUAUGAAUAAUAACGUUGUUACAAAUUACAUUCAUACGGAUAUGCCUACGAUUUACUAUAAAGUACACCGAGAUGAAAUGAGAAGCUUUUGUGUUGAAAUAGAAGAUACAUCUGUUGAUAUAGAUAUAAAUAUAUUUAUGGACAUGAUAAGAAAAGAAUUGACAAUUGAUAAAAAUAGUAUAAAAAAUCCAGUUUUUAGUAUUUUUGAAAAACCUUCAAUUCCGUUUACUCCAGAUAAUAAAUACAACUCAAUUAGCUACGGACGAAUGGCAUAUUUUUUAGUAUUCGAUCUUACAAAUGAAGAAACAUUUGAAUAUGUUAAGACAAUUUAUUUAAACAUGUCAAAUAUUUAUGAUAAAUAUUAUUCUCUAAAGCCGUUUAUAUCUCUUGUUGGAAAUAAAUCAGAUUUGGUAAAAGAAGAUUGUGAAUUAGUUAGGCAAGCAGAACACUUCGCGACCGAACACUUGGUACAAUUAUGGCUCGUAUCAUCGCUUACAGGGAAAAAUGUUAAGAAGUUAUUCUUACAUAUGGUUAACAUGGUUUUCAAUAACACGAAUUUGUGGAAAUACGAUAUGGAAGAUUCUGGAUCCGAAUCUUCAGAAAAUUAAAAUUAAAAAAAAAUAAAAUAAAAUAAAAACCUAAGCA
rnacentral:lncRNA from 1 species